GACGUAGGGCGCAAGCGUUGUCCGGAAUUACUGGGCGUAAAGCGUGCGCAGGCGGCUUUGCAAGACAGAUGUGAAAUCCCCGGGCUUAACCUGGGAACUGCAUUUGUGACUGCAUGGCUGGAGUGCGGCAGAGGGGGAUGGAAUUCCGCGUGUAGCAGUGAAAUGCGUAGAUAUGCGGAGGAACACCGAUGGCGAAGGCAAUCCCCUGGGCCUGCACUGACGCUCAUGCACGAAAGCGUGGGGAGCAAACAGG
rnacentral:rRNA from 1 species